AUGGCCUGGACCCCUCUCCUCCUGGGCCUCCUGGCUCACUGCACAGGCUCUGUGGCCUCCUAUGAGCUGACACAGCCAUCCUCGGUCUCCGUGAGCCUCGGACAGACGGCCAGGAUCUCCUGCGGUGGAAACAGCAUUGGAAGUAAAAAUGCUCAGUGGUACCAGCAGAAGCCAGGCCAGGCCCCCGUGCUGGUCAUCUAUUAUGAUAACAAACGACCCUCAGGGAUCCCUGACCGAUUCUCAGGCUCCAACUCGGGGAACACGGCCACCCUGACCAUCAGCGGGGUGCAGGCCCAGGACGAGGCCGACUAUUACUGCUGGUCCUCCCAGGUCUCGCUGUGUGUUGUGUUCGGCGGAGGGACCCAGCUGACCGUCCUAGGUCAGCCCAAGUCCGCACCCUCAGUCACUCUGUUCCCGCCAUCCAGUGAGGAGCUUGACAAGAACAAGGCCACACUGGUGUGUCUGGUCAGUGACUUCUACCCCGGCAGCGUGACGGUGGCCUGGAAGGCAAAUGGCAAGCCUGUCACCCAGGGCGUGGAGACCACCAAGGCCUCGAAACAGAGCAACAACAAGUACGCGGCCAGCAGCUACCUGAGCCUGCGCUCGAAAGCAGAGUGGAGCUCUGUCAGCAGCUUCAGCUGCCAGGUCACGCACGACGGCAACACUGUGGAGAAGACAGUGGUCCCCUCAGAGUGUUCGUAG